GUGGGGAAUUUUGCGCAAUGGGGGAAACCCUGACGCAGCAACGCCGCGUGGAGGAUGAAAUCCCUUGGGAUGUAAACUCCUUUCGAUAGGGAAGAUUAUGACGGUACCUAUAGAAGAAGCCCCGGCUAACUUCGUGCCAGCAGCCGCGGUAAUACGAGGGGGGCAAGCGUUGUUCGGAUUUAUUGGGCGUAAAGGGUGCGUAGGCGGUUUGGCAAGUCUUGUGUGAAAUCUUCGGGCUCAACCCGAAGCCUGCACAAGAAACUGCCGGGCUUGAGUAUGGGAGAGGUGAGUGGAAUUUCCGGUGUAGCGGUGAAAUGCGUAGAUAUCGGAAGGAACACCUGUGGCGAAAGCGGCUCACUGGACCAUAACUGACGCUGAGGCACGAAAGCUAGGGGAGCAAA
rnacentral:rRNA from 1 species